GUCAGCAUCUCAGACAGGAGCAAUGAGCAGACAACGAGAACAAGCCACGACAUGCGAGAGUCCAUCGUCCAAACGCCAAGGUUACUGAGCCAAUAUGGGCUAAGUAGUGGGUCAGCUAUCUAUGGGUCGCUUGAUGUUCGAGUAGUACUAUAUAAAAGACAAACACUUGUGUAAUAGGGGCAUGAACAAUUUAGCUAUCAAAUAUCAGACAAACUCGUCUUCCUCCCAGCUAUUCCCUUCUCCAAGUCUUAUUCUCCUCUGAGCUCUUCCUCAUCGAUCCCCCUUAUCAGGUGUCGCUAACAUUUGGUAUCAGACUAGGACUCAAUCUCGAUGGAGGCCACGAUGCAGGAUAUUCUAGACGCACUGGCGCGCAUGGAGGCACGCUUGACCGAUGCGCUGAUGGGUCGCUGCGGCGAGCAGUACGCACGCGAGCACACUUCCCCCUUCGACGGAUCCGCGCCUCCUUCUUCCAUCGUCAACACACAGUACCGCGACGAGGCAAUCCUUCCGCCUCUCGUCCACGACGACGCUGCGAAGGUGGCGUCCUUGGAUUCGGGAAACGACUUUGGCCUGCAGCAGACCGCCACGGUGCUUGCGUCCCUAGGGUCCGACGAGAUGUCUUCGUCGACCAUGCCCCUCGCCGGCUCCAUAUCCGACCGCUACAUUCCGCCGCUCUACGACGACGACUGCUACACCAUGCCACAGCCGUUUGUCGAUACUCUCGCCAACCCCGACGAUGACCUCCUCCAGGAGCUCGACGUGUUGGACGAGGAUGCCACGAGCGCCAACGCGGCUGACGACGAUUCAGGCGCUGUCCUCGUCUAUGCGCCGCUCGACUCGAACAUCGACAGCAGCGGAUCACCGCGCUACCCGUGCCUCCCCGAGGGCGCGGUGUUGUUCCAUCGGGACCCGGACGAGAAGGUCCUCAUCGGCGGGACGGAGUUGUCCGGCGAAGUCCGCCGCCUCCGUUUCUCCUUGUCGUCACCAGACCAGGCGAUGAACCCCGCGCUCGUCCCCAACACCGACGCAGAGGAGGAGGAGGUUCUCACCAUCACGCCCACCAAGUGUUCGACAAUAUACCUCAACCGCGGCAUUUACUCCGUCCCCAACCCGUUCCUCCAUCGUCAGCACCUACUCCGGGACUGCGACGACAACCACGUCGGAGUCGACGUCGACAUCCUUCCUACCUCCGAGUUCGACGAGGGUCCCAUCUUCGACGAGGAGCCCUGCUUCCACCGUAGCCUCCUGGAUUCAGAUCCAGACUCUCCCUACGACUGGGUCGUCCCCGUCAUCGCCGUCCACGGCAGCGGCGACACUGAGCUGUCCCACAGCGAAGUCGACAAGGUCCCCGCGACCGCCGCGCUACCCAACCUGCGCGAGAAGAUCUGCUGUCGGUUCGUCGACAGGACGAAGCUGUCCCGCCACGUCCGCCUCAUCCACUUCUCCCUACCGUUGCCGGACCAGGUGCUCGGCAUCCCCACCGGCACGCAUGUCUUCGACUGCACCAGCGUUGACGGGAAGCCGUGUAUGCGAUCGUACACGCCGACGAGCAAGGAGGACGAGGUUCUCGCCACUACGCCCAACGGGUGUUUGAUGAAUUGCUUCAUCCUCACACAGAGUUGUUUCUCGCCUCCGGUCAGUUGCAGCUGGGAUGCAGUGAUGCAGAGACAACCAUGGCCACCACCUAUGCAAUCCAACCGUGUUGUGAGCAUCACCGACCGCCACACCGAGGAGACCAGCCCCGUGCGCAAACUGGUUGCCGAGAUCAUUGGUGUGCUUGGGUCAAAACACAUGAGAACUGUCACGCCGCUUCCUGACACCGGUCAAUGGCUGCUUCUAUCAUUGAUCGAGAAGCUCCCUCAAAGCGUGGUUGAUCUACUGAGAGCUCAUGUUAUCAAUCUCCAUCAUUAUCUGAUGUUGUUUAGCUUGCUGGGAUUUUCAGUUCUGUUCGACUGUAUCAAAGCACCUGACUCGAAUGCUAUCUGUAGAGGCAUAACACAGGAUAUGACAUAUGCUGCUGUUCAAGCUUACACAGAUGCAUAUAAGCCUGAUUGGGAACGUAUCAACUUCAUUGUAGACAUUUUGAGAUCGACUCCUGGAGAAGGGCCUUCGUGGUACCAUCUUUUGAAGAAAGUUAGUGGCGGCUGCAAUGAUCUUAAGAACAACGAACACAUGCUUGUUGUUGUCCUUACCAAACAGCAAGCUAUUAAGAUAGGAGGCAACUUCCAGAUCGUGGAGUAUUUCCUGGUUGAGGCAAUCCAAAUCCAGUCAUAUGGAGCAGAGGGCAAUACCGAGCUCAACCUUUCAACUGGUGACUACAUAGUGGUAGGGGUGUCAGAUGUCCAGGUCUGGUGUGGCUGCGAUCUGCUAUUCCGCAUUACAGACUGGCACAUUCCAUGGCAUAUCAUCUUGGCGGUAUCAAAAUUUUCCAUCGGCUUGGGAGCCGGCCGAAGCUCAAGAAUGAAGAAAUGUCAGCCAUAUGUCCAGUCGUCAGUCACUUCCUGUGACAAGCAAAAGUUGUUUGUCCGAUUCUUUGGUGUGCUCUACAUAGUGUUCAACAAGAUGAACUUCAUGCUGCUGUUGGACGACGAUUGGGAGCCACUGAUGGAUAAUUACCGACCUUUGGGAAUAAAAUCUCUGAGGUUCAGCACAUUUUCUCUUGGAAAUAUGUCACCAAAGAUAGAAGAGCAAAAAAUUCAGUACAUCAUUCAUACCAUUGGAGGAAGCUUAACUGCAGUUCAUGGAUUUUUUGUCCAACUUGGUGUCAAUGUGGAUACGAGUGACUGGGAGCUUCAAACUCUGGGAAGACUUUCGGUUACUGUGGCAAAGCAAGCCAAGCUCGACCGCUUCCCCAUCACCAUUAGUGAUCCAAUCUCAGCUACGUUCGGUGAACCAUUUGAGAAAGCCAACCCAAGCCAUUCCUCCACAGCAAUCGUUUGUCGAGCUGGUUCAGGAAUUGGUAUGGCUGUUUGCCUUGUUUCUUCUAGUCUAGGUGUUGUUGCUAGUGGCCAAGGCAAUUUCAAAGUCUUAGUUUGGGAUCCUGGUGGUUAUGCAUAUCACAGCUUGGGGACAAGCUGUAUUUCAAGCGGUGGGGAAUGUCAGCAUCUCAGACAGGAGCAAUGAGCAGACAACGAGAACAAGCCACGACAUGCGAGAGUCCAUCGUCCAAACGCCAAGGUUACUGAGCCAAUAUGGGCUAAGUAGUGGGUCAGCUAUCUAUGGGUCGCUUGAUGUUCGAGUAGUACUAUAUAAAAGACAAACACUUGUGUAAUAGGGGCAUGAACAAUUUAGCUAUCAAAUAUCAGACAAACUCGUCUUCCUCCCAGCUAUUCCCUUCUCCAAGUCUUAUUCUCCUCUGAGCUCUUCCUCAUCGAUCCCCCUUAUCAGGUGUCGCUAACACAAGGACCCUAGAUUGUUUUUGUGUGUGUGUGUGCGUUACAAAAAGACUUGCUACCAGCUCGAACCUAGCAGCAGCUUCGAGAACCUGUUUGUUUACUACCACUAGUACUAUUGUAUACUGAUUCCAGUUAAUUAAGCACCGUACCGUGUGUCGAGGAAGAGCAUUGCCAGCGCGCGUGCAUUGUAUUGUAUGCACGGCUGUGGACCGUAACUUUGGCCGCCACUCCGCCAGCUGAUGAGCAGGGGCAGUACAGGCCAAGAACGAUCCAUCAUGGACGCACGGCAUGAGCUAAUGUUGGGGAAAUAAUAAUCUGUGCCGUUUGCGUACGUCAGCAAAUUGCACGGCUGUUUUCUGGACAUUGCAAAAGAGUGUGAGAGAGUUUCUUUACGCAAGCAACGGAAUCUUACUCCCAGCACGUUAUAUUUCCAGGCACCAAAUCCGAAUCGCAUCAGUG
rnacentral:lncRNA from 1 species